AUUGAACGCUGGCGGCAUGCUUUACACAUGCAAGUCGAACGGCAGCGCGGGCUUCGGCCUGGCGGCGAGUGGCGGACGGGUGAGUAAUACAUCGGAACGUGCCCAGUAGUGGGGGAUAGCUCGGCGAAAGCCGGAUUAAUACCGCAUACGACCUGAGGGUGAAAGCGGGGGAUCUUCGGACCUCGCGCUAUUGGAGCGGCCGAUGGCAGAUUAGCUAGUUGGUGGGGUAAAGGCCUACCAAGGCGACGAUCUGUAGCUGGUCUGAGAGGACGACCAGCCACACUGGGACUGAGACACGGCCCAGACUCCUACGGGAGGCAGCAGUGGGGAAUUUUGGACAAUGGGCGAAAGCCUGAUCCAGCAAUGCCGCGUGUGUGAUGAAGGCCUUCGGGUUGUAAAGCACUUUUGGCGGGAACGAAAAGGACUGUGCCAAUACCACGGUUCGAUGACGGUACCCGCAGAAUAAGCACCGGCUAACUACGUG
rnacentral:rRNA from 1 species